GCUCGUAGGCGAGUCCAGAAUGAAUGGGAGCCAACGGGGUUUUAUCCUCAGAAUCCACUUUUCUCACAAUGUAAUUUUUUGUCAAGUAAUUUGAAAGUUGCUAUCAAAGGGUGGGGCUAAGAUAAUAAACUCAGCUGAAUAUUGCAUUUUUUAAGGUCACGUAUCUGUUCUAAAAAGGCGUUAAAAACAUGCGAUGACGUCACACACUGUAAUACUGUCAGAGGUACUGCUUUACGGCAGUUUCUAAAGCACUUCCCUUUUCCCGCAACGAUAACACCAGCUGUUGGAGUCGGACCUUGAUGCUGUGACAACGGACAAGUCUUCUUCCUCUGUCCUUUUCCCCUGCCUCUGUUCAGUAUGUUCAGUGUUGUUAAAUCAUUUCUCUUUUUUUUUAUUAGUUACUGUUCUUAUUGUGUUCUUGUUAGUGUGAUGUUUGAAUAAACUUGCCUGUUGCAAUGUU